rnacentral:lncRNA from 1 species
CCUAAUCUGAUAACUUAAAAACAGGUUUUUUUCCAGCAAUCACCUACAUGAGGAUCACGUUUAGCCUUCAUUGAAUGCCCUUCCAAAAUAAACAACAUAAGUCGUACAUCAAAACAUUACAAAAGGCAUUAAACAGUUGUGAAUUCGCAAGCAAACUUCUAUUUAAACUUGAUUAUGGUGUGUUAUCUGUAUGCAUAUUCCAAUAGUCAGCUGCUUUCAUCUCCAACACUCGACGGAGACCAUUGUGGGGACCCGUUAACAACCUCAACGCGAUUUUCAUCCUCACAGUCCGAUCGUCAAGCUGUAAUGUUUACAAACAAAGAAUUAUUACAAUAAAUAGAUGUGUCGUAUUUAGAUUCCAUUAACAAAAAAAAAGAAUAAAUAUUACCACUCCUGUCAUCUGCUCGUUGAACGAUUGUUCCAUGUUCAACCAUUCCGCCACCCACAACCCAGAAUUUUCGCUUCAAAAGUUGU